GCCCGCGUGGCGCAGCCGGAGAGCGCGCGAAGCUCCUACCUUCGAGGCCGCAGGUUCGAAUCCUGCCGCGGGCGCCA
rnacentral:tRNA from 1 species